UCGAAGUCUGAGGGCAGGUUAUGGAUUUGCUUAUAAAACUCUGCGAACUCCCACGUAACGUCGACUUCCAAGAUAAAGAUGGUGUCUACGUGAGGAACUUUCCCUUUAGAUGUUUAUUUAAAGAAUUAUAAUGGUACGUUAGACCUUCUUCUUUUAGACGUUAGGACUUCUUUUUGAUGUUCGGUCCAUUGAAAAACAACUUCACGUGUAAACGAAACGUGAAACCUUAAAUAGCGAAAACCGCAUGAAUUUCCUGGAAAAUGUAUCCUAUACUUUCCCUUUAAGUGUUUGUUUAAACAAUUAAAAUAUGUGCGUUAGACCUUUUUUAGAGGUUAGGGCCUCUUUUUGGUGUUCGGUCCAGCUCGGGCCGGAGAGCAUGGCUUCCUAGGGACACGAAAUGGUGCCAGGGCAAAUGGUGAAUGCGCAAGUCAGUAAAAGAAGUGUCAACUUUCCGAAACAUGCAAGAUACCGAAGAAUCUCGCUUCGACGGGCACAAUGCAUGGAGAUCAGAAUAAAAAGGGAUUCUACCGUUCCACCUAGUCAUGUUAUGGAUUCGGUAACGAGAUGGGAAACUUGUCAUGGCAAUCUACAGUCCAGCGAAAAUUAAUAUUUAAACCCGUACGCCUUGGAGGCAAUGUAUCGAUUUUCUUUUAAACUUCUAUACCGUGCCAUGUUUUUAAUUACCUGGGAAUUAAAUUUCAUGGGAUUGCAAAUCUCUGUAGAUUCCCAUGAGAUGAUUUCGCAUCGCUGUAGUUAUUGGUCAGUCUGCGAUGUUUCUGUUUAACAAUAAUUCCAAAAUAAGAAUGCCCGAGGAGUUCCCUGAGCACGAAAAACCCCUCCGGCUUCUAUUGGUGUGAGACUGAUCCUCCUGGUCUGAGUCUGCAAGCCACCAGGACACAUUCACAGAGGGUGCAUCACACACAUUCCACACACGUCUAGAGUGUCUUUCGUAUCGAGAAAAAGUGUCCUGUUAAAUGGUGUUUUAAGUACGUGCUCGUCAAUCCGCCGUUAAGACCCGUCUUCCAACGCGUUGGGAUUAGUCAUUGACAAGAUAGCGGCGAGACUUUCGGCGAGAAGAAAGAAAAAAAGCAUAGAGCAGGAGUGAAGUUCCGCUGCACUUCUUCCAGGGAACAUCACACCCGGAAGUGGGUACUUUCCCCACUUGUUCCACAAUAUAGCAUUAAGUACGUGCUUGUAAAGCCCGCCGUCCACUUUGUCAAAAUUCCCAACCGAAGAAGACAAGAUGGCGGCGAAGCGUCCGAAAGGAGGGAAUAAAAAAGCCGUCCCAGAUAGGCAGUCACCGCGAAACCCCGACACACCGAGUCAGUCGAAAGCCGAGAAACGUUUAGUGGUACAUCGGUCCGAUCUGCAAUGCCAAUUUGUUAUUGCAUUCCUUCUAUGCUCUCAUCUAUAAGAAGAAUCCCUACGUGCUCUACGAGUGGAAUAUGCGAGGUCGGAGAAAUCGAGAAAAGGACCCUGGAGACUCUCUUUGGGAUUAAAAUAAUAAUUACUCUACACGAGGCUCCUCUUUCAUAUCUUUUCUUUAUAUAUAUAUACAGGGUGAGUCUUAUGAGAACUCCAAAUGAGGUGGGGUACUGCCGUAAGGGCACGUCCACUCUUUAAGAGGAUAUGAAAGGCGCUAAGAAAUUUAAUCGACGUCGAUAGAGUGAAAUUCAUCUAUACCCUUUUUGG